CCCUGGUGGCUCAGUAGUAAAGAAUCUGCCUGUAAGGCAGGAGACCUGGGUUCGAUUCCUAGAUCAGGAA
rnacentral:tRNA from 1 species